UAUCCCUCGGGCCAAAGGCCCUCGGGCUAGUUCGGCCCUCAGGGCAUUAUAAGGUCCGUAACGCCCUUGGUACAUAAAUAGCUAUUUUGAUGCCAAACGAUUUCGGUGAUUAACUAGGUCUCAAACAAGUAUUUGUGGUAUCCAGUGGUGCCCAUUAGAAAUAUUUGCAGCCAGGCUGAGUCUGACAAUGAUUAAGCGACUCUCCCACUCGUCUCAAUUACCAUGAUAACUUUAUAACAGGCGCUGAAUUCGGUCCAUUACUAGAGUAAACAAGAUGGAUCAGGUAAAAUUUAUCUGGCGAACCGUUUAGGUGGGCAUGAUAAAUUAACCGACGUUAACUUUACUUUCGGAAAGUGGGAUAUGGCGUCAUCCAUACGCCGGAUGAGUCUUGAUUGAUUUCAACAUUUAUUAGUGAAUAUAGUUGAUUUCAAUAGUU